rnacentral:misc_RNA from 1 species
UCUCCGUAGGUGAACCUGCGGAGGGAUCAUUACUGAGUCAGGGCCUCUGGCCCCACCUCCAACCCUUUGCUGUCCGACUCUGUUGCCUCGGCGGCGACCCGGCCUUCCCGCCGGGGGCCCCCCGUGGUCCUCUCAACUCAGCAUCUUUGCGUCUGAGUAAACAUUAAGUGAAACAAAACUUUCAACAACGGAUCUCUUGGUUCUG